UUCGGAGAGUUUGAUCCUGGCUCAGGACGAACGCUGGCGGCGUGCCUAAUACAUGCAAGUCGAGCGGACAGAUGGGAGCUUGCUCCCUGAUGUUACCGGCGGACGGGUGAGUAAUACGUGGGUAACCUGCCUGUAAGACUGGGAUAACUCCGGGAAACCGGGGCUAAUACCGGAUGGUUGUUUGAACCGCAUGGUUCAAACAUAAAAGGUGGCUUCGGCUACCACUUACAGAUGGACCCGCGGCGCAUUAGCUAGUUGGUGAGGUAACGGCUCACCAAGCCAACGAUGCGUAGCCGACCUGAGAGGGUGAUCGGCCACACUGGGACUGAGACACGGCCCAGACUCCUACGGGAGGCAGCAGUAGGGAAUCUUCCGCAAUGGACGAAAGUCUGACGGAGCAACGCCGCGUGAAUGAUGAAGGGUUUCGGAUCGUAAAGCUCUGUUGUUAGGGAAGAACAACUGCCGUUCAAAUAGGGCGGCACCUUGACGGUAACUAACCAGAAAGCCACGGCUAACUACGUGCCAGCAGCCGCGGUAAU
rnacentral:rRNA from 1 species